rnacentral:rRNA from 1 species
AUGUCACCUUCAUCAACGGCAUCCGCAACAAGCUCCGCAACCCGGGGCACUCCUCCCACAACCGCCCCGUGCUGCCGCCGAUCGAGCCCAACGUCCCGCCGAGCAGGUGGUUCCACAUCGUGCUCAAGACAUCGCCGGCAAGCACCGGGCUCACGCUCGCCACCCGCGCCGACAACCUCUACUGGGAGGGCUUCAAGAGCAGCGACGGCACCUGGUGGGAGCUCACCCCCGGACUCAUCCCCGGCGCCACCCACGUUGGGUUCGGCGGCACGUAUCGCGACCUCCUCGGCGACACCGACAAGCUGA